GGCGUAAAGAGCUCGUAGGUGGUUUGUCGCGUUGUUCGUGAAAUCUCACGGCUUAACUGUGAGCGUGCGGGCGAUACGGGCAGACUUGAGUACUGCAGGGGAGACUGGAAUUCCUGGUGUAGCGGUGGAAUGCGCAGAUAUCAGGAGGAACACCGGUGGCGAAGGCGGGUCUCUGGGCAGUAACUGACGCUGAGGAGCGAAAGCGUGGGGAGCGAACAGGAUUAGAUACCCUGGUAGUCCACGCCGUAAACGGUGGGUACUAGGUGUGGGUUUCCUUCCUUGGGAUCCGUGCCGUAGCUAACGCAUUAAGUACCCCGCCUGGGGAGUACGGCCGCAAGGCUAAAACUCAAAGAAAUUGACGGGGGCCCACACAAGCGGCGGAGCAUGUGGAUUAAUUCGAUGCAACGCGAAGAACCUUACCUGGGUUUGACAUGCACAGGACGCCGGCAGAGAUGUCGGUUCCCUUGUGGCCUGUGUGCAGGUGGUGCAUGGCUGUCGUCAGCUCGUGUCGUGAGAUGUUGGGUUAAGUCCCGCAACGAGCGCAACCCUUGUCUCAUGUUGCCAGCGGGUAAUGCCGGGGACUCGUGAGAGACUGCCGGGGUCAACUCGGAGGAAGGUGGGGAUGACGUCAAGUCAUCAUGCCCCUUAUGUCCAGGGCUUCACACAUGCUACAAUGGCCGGUACAAAGGGCUGCGAUGCCGCGAGGUUAAGCGAAUCCUUUUAAAGCCGGUCUCAGUUCGGAUCGGGGUCUGCAACUCGACCCCGUGAAGUCGGAGU
rnacentral:rRNA from 1 species